UCCCAUGUGGUCUAGUGGCUAGGAUACCUGGCUUUCAACCAGGAGGCCCGGGUUCGAUUCCCGGCAUGGGAA
rnacentral:tRNA from 1 species